rnacentral:rRNA from 1 species
UACAGAGGAGCCAAGCGUUGUCCGGAUUGACUGGGCGUAAAGCGCACGCAGGCGGUUGCGCGCGUGGGGUGUGAAAUCUGGCCGCUUAACGGCCAGGCGCCAUCCCAUACGGCGCGACUGGAGGGCUGCAGAGGUCGAUGGAAUUGCCGGUGUAGUGGUGAAAUGCGUAGAGAUCGGUAGGAACACCCAGGGGGAAACCAGUCGACUGGGCAGCACCUGACGCUGAGGUGCGAGAGCGUGGGGAGCGAACCGG